CUGCGACCCCAGGUCAGGCGGGA
rnacentral:rRNA from 1 species